rnacentral:rRNA from 1 species
AUGGCAGCUCCGACAGCAUUCUUCCUCGGCGUUUGCGCGGUGCUGCUGGCGGCCGCCGUCGCCAACGCCGACGCGGCUUCCGUGGUGGUCGGCCUGGCCAAGUGCGCCGGCUGCACCAGGAAGGACAUGAAGGCCGAGGAAACGUUCAAGCGUCUCCGCGUGGCGAUCAAGUGCAGGAACGUUGAGGGCGAGUACGAGAGCAAGGCGGUGGGCGGCCUCGACCGCACCGGCGCCUUCAGCGUGCCCCUGGCCACCGACCUCCACGGCGCCGACUGCGUCGCGCAGCUUCACAGCGCCGCCUCCAACGCGCCGUGCCCCGGCCAGGAGCCGUCCAAGAUCGUGCCACUGUCCGAGGGCGCCACCACCUUCGGCGUCGUCGCCGGCGCCAAGACCACCGCCACGCCGUCGGUGGCGUCCCCGGAGUGUGCGUCGGCCUUCUGCCCCUCGACCACGCCCUGGAAGAAGCCCCGCGGCGGCGGCCACCACAAGAAGAAGCACAACCCGCACAAGCCGGAGACCAAGGCCCUGCCGUAA